UACGGGGGGGGUAAGCGUUGUUCGGAAUUACUGGGCGUAAAGGGUCUGUAGGUGGCUUGCUAAGUCAGACGUGAAAUCCCUCGGCUUAACCGGGGAACUGCGUCUGAUACUGGAUGGCUUGAGAUUGGGAGAGGGAUGCGGAAUUCCAGGUGUAGCGGUGAAAUGCGUAGAUAUCUGGAGGAACACCGGUGGCGAAGGCGGCAUCCUGGACCAACACUGACACUGAGGAGCGAAAGCCAGGGGAGCAAACGGG
rnacentral:rRNA from 1 species